rnacentral:rRNA from 1 species
GACGAACGCUGGCGGCGUGCCUAAUACAUGCAAGUUGAGCGCUGAAGGUUGGUACUUGUACCAACUGGAUGAGCAGCGAACGGGUGAGUACCGCGUGGGGAAUCUGCCUUUGAGCGGGGGACAACAUUUGGAAACGAAUGCUAAUACCGCAUAAAAACUUUAAACACAAGUUUUAAGUUUGAAAGAUGCAAUUGCAUCACUCAAAGAUGAUCCCGCGUUGUAUUAGCUAGUUGGUGAGGUAAAGGCUCACCAAGGCGAUGAUACAUAGCCGACCUGAGAGGGUGAUCGGCCACAUUGGGACUGAGACACGGCCCAAACUCCUACGGGAGGCAGCAGUAGGGAAUCUUCGGCAAUGGACGAAAGUCUGACCGAGCAACGCCGCGUGAGUGAAGAAGGUUUUCGGAUCGUAAAACUCUGUUGGUAGAGAAGAACGUUGGUGAGAGUGGAAAGCUCAUCAAGUGACGGUAACUACACAGAAAGGGACGGCUAACUACGUG